AUAUUUCUAGUCUUCCCCCUUUCUCCUCAGCUACUCAUUCAAAUCACAUUUGAAGUAUGUAUCGUGUACAAAUUCCUAUAUAUAACCUUAUACCUACCACAGGCUCCUCACAAUUAUUUUCUUAUCUACAGCUCUCAUACAUACCAUUCUCUUUGAGUGAAACAAAAAUGAUGGGGCGUUCAAUGCGUUUGUUUGCAACUGUGUUACUCUUGCUAAUGGUUGUCUUUGCCACUGAGAUAGGGACCGCAGAGGCAAGGAGCUGUGAGUGAGCUAGCCAAAGGUUCAAAGGAUUGUGUACCAGAAACAGCGACUGUGCAUCUUUUUGCAACAUUGAAGGCUUCCCUAAUGGCAAAUGCAAAGGCUUUCGACGUCGUUGCUUUUGUACCAGAAAUUGUUAAAUAUAUCUAUCUAAUGGAGUAAUUAAGUAUGUGAAAUGAGAAUAACGUGCGUUCAAUAUGUUUAGCACGAAGUAUUAAGUACUGUUAUUAAGGUUGAAUGUACUACUUUUAGUAUUUGAUUAUGUUGAAAGCUACUCCUCUUGUCCCAAUUUGUAUGAGGGUAUUGAUUGGGCAUGGAAUAUAAGAAUGAAAGGAAGAUUUUUGUA